rnacentral:rRNA from 1 species
AUGCCAACGACGACAGACGGCGCGGAGGUGUUCAUCGCUUUUAACUAUAACAACGUAAGCGCGGGGGCUGCGGCGGCCUUUGACGCCGCCUCCGGCCGGCUCGUCAACGCCACCGCCGACUAUGCAGCCAGGUGCACGCCGGACAUGACGGUGGCCGACUGCCGGACCUGCCUCCGGCACAUAAUUGGGGAAUUUACCCCCGAGUAUUUUGUCGGGAAGCCAGGCGGGAGAGUCUUCGGUGUGCGCUGCAACUUCCGGUUCGUGACGUAUUCUUUCUUCUCUGGGCACCCACUGCUACAAGUCCCGGCCGUGUUGCCGCCUUUGCCGGCGCCGGCGCCGGCCGCAACCGGAGAAGGAGAAAACUGGCAAAGAGAAAGCCGUCAGUACAAUAUAUGUUAA